rnacentral:lncRNA from 1 species
UUAAACAAGGUUGUAGGGGCCUAAACGUAAUUAACUGUAGACCUCAGGGGUUAGCAAGGAAAAUUUGCAAGACACCAGGAAUAGUGCUCGCAAAAAGGCUAAAGAACAGGGUUAGAUUUGCAAAACAGCAGGGGCUGGACCAGAUCUAGGGAAACUAAUAGAUCCAGGGGGUUAUCUGCUAGUUUGCCAAGACACAAAGGAAAGAGGAAAAAUUACAAAUUUCUCCAGGGGCUAAAUCGAAAAGCACCGGGUCUUCUUCUACCUCACGCCAGGCGCACGGUGCACCUCCUGGCCGGCGGCCUGCCGGGGCUCCGGUGCGACGGGGACUCGGGUGGGUGGUCCAGGCGGUGGUGGCCGGGCUGCUGGCCCCAGCGGUAGUGCGGGAACGAGGUACGGGCGGCGUCUCGGCCAGGAGCAGGCGGCGGACAUAAACAGACCAGUCUGUUACGGUUGCAAAAACAAUGGAAAAGAGAGAGAAAGAGGGAAUCGUCGGAAACGAAGUCCGAUCUCGCGCAUGAACGGCAAAAUGGAACGAUAUCGACGAGACGAACAAGAUGGUGUGCUCACCUUCGGCCAGAGACGAACAAUGGCGGCGGAAAAGCUCGCCGGAGUUGGGGAAGACGACGGAGCCGACAUCGGAUUCAUGCAAUCCACCACACCACGGCGUAGAGCUCGAAGAGAGGAACUCCAUGGUGGUGUCGGUUUUCGCCGGAAGUCCACGGUUUCGCCGGAAAAGCUCGCCGGAGUUUGACGAAGACCGAACUUUGACUUCAGAUCUACGGAGUUAGGAGAGGUAACUCAUGAAAAGGUUUGCAGAUCUGAAAUCCUCGCGUCGAGACGAACGCGGUGAUAUAUAUAUGCGCCACACUCGGAAAAAGAUAUUUUCGAGUUGACUUUUUAUUUUUCGGAAUUUCUGAUUUUAUUUAUCUGCGCGAAAACAAUUCCAGAAAUAGCUGGACUCGUUUUCUAAAGCGAGAAAAAUAUCUAGAAAAUUCCGAAAAAUCUGAGAUAAAUCUCAGAGAUGGAUUGGGAUGCAAGGAAUCCAAAUAAAAUACUUGGAGCUCGUGAAAAGGAUUCUAGAACCUUCCAAAAAUUAGAUUUAGCUCUAGGGAAAAGAGAAUAAUUUCCGGAAAAAGGUGGAAAAUCCUCACAAGAGUCUGGGCAACGUCUAAACGCAUUUUUCAAACUUUUGCACUCAAGAAACACCAAGAUGCAACGACAUGAAUGCAAAGACAUAGAACAACAUUAUUUAAUUUAGAAAAGCAAACAAUUAUUUUUCCUAUACUAAAUUUCCUGUAAAGAAAAAUAAAUAUUAGGAAAAUUUUAAAAUUAUGAGAAAAUCGCUGUUGAAUUACUCUUUUUAAUCACAUCCUGAAAUUCGAAAAUUUCAGGGUGUGACAACACUACCCCCCUUAACAAGAAUCUCGUCCCGAGAUUCGCAAAGGCUUGCAAGAGACAAAGGUUUAGGUGGGUAGCAUCCAACACUUGUUAGCUUGUUCCCAGAUCAUUCAUCCUUACAUAACCUUCUCCAUCAUGCUUCUUUAUACUUCACUUCAUCACAUAGAACACUUCAGGGAUACUUAGUCUAAUUCCUCUUUUAAGUAUCCAUUCCUUUCCUCUGCUUCUUUGGGCCAUCUUUGAAGAACUUUCUUCAUUUCUUAGUAAAGUGAUUAGAAUAGAGCUGAAUGGCUUCCCUCUGGCUCGAUUGUCAUCCUUCAAGUCUUCAUACACAUCCUUUCUCCAUCUGAUCUAAACGCUUCUUGGGGCAUUGACUAAUGAAAUGUCCCUCUUCCUUGCAGUAGAAACAUGUUUUUCUUGCUUUGGUAUCUUGGGGACUGGAUGUGGUAUGAGAGUUGGGCUGUGGUAACUGAUGGCAAUUUUUCCUAACUGAGGUGGCUUGAUCAUUUGUCCUGACAAAGAGACCAACUGAUGUUGUUGGGUUGAAGGCAGGGCUUUUGGGUCCUUGAUCCUGGGGUUGAUCAUCCUUCUCUUUUGCACACCAACUAAUCAAGAUGUCCAUUUUCUCCAUACUGGAGGCAAUACAAUUUGGCUCCAAUGGACUUGGUCGACUUAUGCUUUAUUGGAUAGUUAUUGGCAUAAUGGCCUUCUUCACUGCAUCUGAAGCACAAUACUUUUACACAUCCAUCUUGGUUUUCUUUCUGCUCCCUAGUAACUCUCAGUGGAAUAACUAGUGCAUCAGGAUUCUUAUUGAUGGGGUUACCAUGUGGAUGGUGAACAACUUUAGGCUGUGGUUCGUGGGAACUAGGCUGAGUGCUGGUAUAUGCCAAUGGUUGAGGUAACUCCAUCUUCUCUUGACUUGCUUUACUAGUUGGCUUCUUGGCUCGCCUACUCGUCCAGGGCUGAAUUUCUUUGAAAGAGAUACUCCAACCCUCAAGGUUCAUAGUCUGAGUACUAUCUUCAUCUUGAGUAACUUCCUCUAGGGAUGGCCCUUGGGCAUACAACUUCCUCUUCGUAUUGAUAUCUAAAUGAUGAUGUUGUCUAGCUUUAGUUGUCAUUAGGCUAUCUUCUUUCUGGAGACAUGGAAGACGAUGGUGUUCCUAGAAUCUUAACAUCUUCAUAUUGUCUCUCCAUUUCCAGCUCCGACGAUCCAUGGCUUCUCUUGUUCCUUUGAUAGUCCCAGGCUUCAGCAACUUGCCUCUUCACUGGUCCAGUGGGAAUUCUAGCCUUGGUCAUCUCCAUGUUAUGAGGGGAUGAUGUGUCAGUCUGUAUCCUUCCUUGUAAGACUUGAGCCUGCAUAGCUAAUAGCCUCUCAUUGUCGAACGGUGGUGGAGCAAACGAAACGUGAUGGUCAUCACUGGUGAUAGGGUUGUGGUUCCGAGGGAGUGAGGCGUGCCCUGUGAUAUACUGAGGGAUACUGACCAUGGUUUGAGCCAUUGCUUGUAAAGUCCAAGCUUGUGUUGCCAUAUACUCUAACACCUUGCAUUCAAAUAAUGCGGAUACAUGUGGAAUGUUAAGAUCUCCUUCAUUAGCUCUAUCUUCAUGAUUUUCAUUGGGACUCGCCAUUUGGUUGGGUGAUAAAGAUAGGAUCAGAAGAAAAUAGGAAAUGGAUAAAAUUGCAGAACAAGGUAGAGCACUUCAUGAUAUCUUCGUCUUUUCUUGGGUCGUCAUCCGAGUAAGGUAGAAGAAAGGAUAGAAAGCAGCAAGGUGGCAAGAAAGCUAGGCUAGGGCCUUCUUUUCUUCGGCUUGCUUCUAUUUCGACGGUGAUGGUGGCGAUAGCCUCUGCUUGUUGAUAUUGGUGUUGCCUUCACCCUCUUCUUGAUGUCCAUCAGAAUUGGGAGAUAGAAAGAAAAAAAAAAUAACAAGGAUGUGGGAGGUACAAGCAGAUUCAAAGAGAGAAAAGAAAAUAAAAAGGUGGGAGACAACAAGUUCCUUAUGGUAGAGUGGAUAGUCUUUCAUCUUUGCUUAUCGAGAGUAGAAUCUCCCUGCUUUCUUCAUCUUCUUUGGUUCUUGUAAUCAUCAUUAGAGUAAGACGGAGAUUAGAGUAAAGCCUUCUAUUCUUCAACUUGCUUCUAACGAGACAGUGGUGGUGAUGUUAACUUCUGCUUGUUGACGUUGGUGUUGACUUUAGUUCCCACUUUUCUGAUGUCCUUCAUUGGCUCGGGUAGGAGGGAAUGGAUGACAAGGAUGUGGGAGAUUCAAAAGGAAAACCCAGCUAGGCAACUGAUGUCAUUGUAGAUAGAAGACCCACAAUACACCAACAAUCAUUACAAAGAAACAAAUCGGACAAUUUCAUAAAGACAAGCAUCAUCAUGCAAACACAAAAUUCCACCAGUCAACACAGAGUCAAGAAACGAUGCUAAACGUUGUUAAUAAGGCUACAAGGGGUACUCCUAAGCAGGGGUUGUUUGGUAAGGCUUCAACCUGCUUGAUGUAGGCAUCCUUCAGCUUGCCCAGCAUUGACUCCAGAUGUUUGGAGCACGUUUCAGUUGCUCAGGCUUGACUUCUAGUGGUGAACUGGUAACUCCAUUCUUCAGAUGUCUUGAACAGGCUUUAAGACAGGUGGCACGGAUCAUCUAGAUAUUUUUGAAUAAAACGAGACAUUUUGGAAAAAGUCAAGGAAAAGAUUCCAAGGUAUCAUUUAUUUGAAAAGCAACGAGAGGUACAAUGGGGAAGAUGGAUAUACUGAAAAUAAAGUUAAGGAAGAGAUAGGUUUACAAGGAUAAGUAAGUAAGGAAAACAUUAAGAAGAUAAAUGAACAGGGGAUUAGAGAGUAGCAAUAUCACUAAGAAAUCAAGGAGGUGUAUUGCAUCAAACAGGUAAGAUCAUUCAUCAAGAAGGAGAUGCAUGAUCAAGAUCAAGCAGUGAUCAAGGAGAGAGGAAAUAAAUAGACAAGGAUUGAGGGUCUAACAUUUGCAAGACAAGAAGUGCAAAUGAAAAGAGCUCAAGUUAUCAAGGAGGAUUGAGAAAAGAAAAUGAUCAAGGAGUGAGAAUAUUUUUCAGAAAGGUCAAGGAUAAGGCAGGAAUUGUUUAUAGAAUAAAAUAGACCUUAGGAAGUGACCAUUGCUAUCUAGGCUUACGUCCUACAGUCGAUACGGCUCUGAUACCACUUCUGUCACACCCGGUUUUAAGGACAAAACCAAGUGCUACAUAUAUGUAUGCCAGGAUCAAGAUUCAUACAUAUAGUGACAUCAUAAGUGAAUAACAGCAACAGUAUCACGUAAAAAGAUACAAAGACUUACGAAACCAUCAGAGAUAUACAGCUUAAUUAUGGAAACGGAGGCUCCAAACUUCACAGGCAAUCGACUGGGGGCUGCGUACGCCUAGGACUCAGCACCAUCUUCACAAUAACUUCAUAGCAACUUCUUCUUCUGAGCAAUGUUGGUUAUAGCAAGGGUGAGCACUUGUCGUACUCAGCAAGUGUGAGGAGAAUAUGAAUGCAAGGGUUAAACAAGGAAAGGCUGACUGGUUGACUGCAUUAAGCAUUUUUAGUUGGUCAAAUUUUAUUAGCACCUGAUUACUAAGGUAUAAGUAUAUACCAACCCACAAUUAAUAUAAGCAUAAACAUAAGCCAUAACCAUAUGGCACAACCAUAACCAUAGCAUAAACCACAAUUUAAAUCCAUCUUCAAGUAUAUUACUCAUGUGAGGGUCCAGGCCGCUCUUAACCGUGAGCACGGCUGAUCGAUCAGUUUUACACUCUGCAGAGGUCGCACAUCUUUACCCACAAGUCGCGUAAAAGCUCAAAAGAACUUUAGACCCAACCACGCUUGUGCUGAUCAGGCACAAUACCACACUUCCGAGGUGUGAUUGCAUAGGGACGCUACGAGGCCUUUACAAAGAUUCAUUAGUCAGUGGUAACCCGCUAAGGUUUCGGUGUCUGGCGUGCACCACCCAUCCCAGGUAAAAUGCAACGACUCAGUCCCCCCUCUUGCCUCAUCACGAGUAAGGUCACCCCAGACUAAGGUUUCUAAUUAAUCAGCCAAGACCAGAGCCAUUUAGUCUUGUGGUAGCACUGUUUUCCUGGGUGGUCGCUCCAUGUUCCAAUUAAAUAUUGUAAUCUUGUAUUAACAAAAGGUAUAUCAUAAAUAGAAUAAGUUCACCAUGUUGUUCAUUAGAACCACCAUAACCCAAGUAUAGCAGCUAAGCAUAGCUACCCAACAAAAAGGUAAACUCAGGUUGGCAAGGGAUAAUCAUAAAAACUAGGCAAACCUUAAUAGGACCCAUCAAAUUUAAUGCAAGCAUAUGCAAUAGUGAUUAAACAAAGUUAUUGGGACAAAAGCUCAAGGACACACUUGCCUUUCUCCAACGAAAAGUUACUCUUACUUCUCUUCGGCUCUUGCUCACUUGAAACUCUUAAUCUUCAAAGCUUUCGAACAGCGAUCCUUCUACUCGAAGCAAUCACCGGCACAAUCAUACAAGCAAACAAACAAAUACAACUAAGAGCAGUACACCAAAACAAAAAGGAAAGCUUUAAAAGAGCGCACUAACGACAAGGCUCGAUCUAAGGUCACGCGAACGUAAGGAACGCUUAAAACGGAACUAUGGUUGAAAAGAUAAAGCUAUCGAGAGUUUUGAAUUAUAAAAGAAAGAUAAGAUCUACAAGCUUUAUUUAUUUUAGUUGAGAAAAGCAAUGUAAAGAUAUUUCAGAGAAAUAUCCUUAGUUAGAAUUAAUCAAGUCAUAUUUAUAUUUUCAUAAGAAAAGACGGUGUAAAGCUUAGUCCAAUUUUAUUUAUAAAUAUUUGAGUACAAUUUAUGCAAAUUAAACAUUUAAUUUAAAAAUAAGAUACAUGUAGACAUCUAAGCGUAUAGCUUUACAUCUCGAGUUCAACUAAGUAGAUUAAAUUAAAAACACAUUUAUAUUUAUAUUAGCCAAAUUAAUAUUUAAUUAUGAAAACUCAAGAUAUAACCUAUACAGAUUUUAUUUAGAAAACAAAUUGAAUAAACAUUAAUCAAAUUGAAUUUAAUUUAUGAAACGCCGAGGCAUAACUCUAAGUGGCUUUUAAUUGGAAGAAUUAUUUAGAUAGGCAUUAACCAAAUUAACCUUAGUUUAUGAAAAACCGACAUAUAACCUAAUUGGCUUUUAUUUAGAAGAGGGUAUGAAGUAGGCAUUAAUCAAAUUAACAAUUAUUAUGAAAAACGAUGUUUAACACUAAAUAGAUUUUAUUUAGAGAAGAACUCGUUUGACAGGCAUUAAUCAAUUUUAAUAUAAAUUUUAUUUUCAAAAACAUGUGUGAAGGAAAACAUUACCACUAACGUGUAAUUUACAUCAUUAUGAAUCUAACGCAACUUGAACGGACGAAAACGGAAUUAAAACGUAGAUUCUAUGGGUUAAACAAGGUUGUAGGGGCCUAAACGUAAUUAACUGUAGACCUCAGGGGUUAGCAAGGAAAAUUUGCAAGACACCAGGAAUAGUGCUCGCAAAAAGGCUAAAGAACAGGGUUAGAUUUGCAAAACAGCAGGGGCUGGACCAGAUCUAGGGAAACUAAUAGAUCCAGGGGGUUAUCUGCUAGUUUGCCAAGACACAAAGGAAAGAGGAAAAAUUACAAAUUUCUCCAGGGGCUAAAUCGAAAAGCACCGGGUCUUCUUCUACCUCACGCCAGGCGCACGGUGCACCUCCUGGCCGGCGGCCUGCCGGGGCUCCGGUGCGACGGGGACUCGGGUGGGUGGUCCAGGCGGUGGUGGCCGGGCUGCUGGCCCCAGCGGUAGUGCGGGAACGAGGUACGGGCGGCGUCUCGGCCAGGAGCAGGCGGCGGACAUAAACAGACCAGUCUGUUACGGUUGCAAAAACAAUGGAAAAGAGAGAGAAAGAGGGAAUCGUCGGAAACGAAGUCCGAUCUCGCGCAUGAACGGCAAAAUGGAAC